UUAAACAAAACCAAACUAGAGGUAUGCCACUGUUAAUGGUAGUUAGAGUUUUACUCUGUUUAAA
rnacentral:tRNA from 1 species